AGAGUUUGAUCAUGGCUCAGAACGAACGCUGGCGGCAUGCCUAACACAUGCAAGUCGAACGAGACCUUCGGGUCUAGUGGCGCACGGGUGCGUAACGCGUGGGAAUCUGCCCUUGGGUUCGGAAUAACAGCGAGAAAUUGCUGCUAAUACCGGAUGAUGACGUAAGUCCAAAGAUUUAUCGCCCAAGGAUGAGCCCGCGUAGGAUUAGCUAGUUGGUGAGGUAAAGGCUCACCAAGGCGACGAUCCUUAGCUGGUCUGAGAGGAUGAUCAGCCACACUGGGACUGAGACACGGCCCAGACUCCUACGGGAGGCAGCAGUGGGGAAUAUUAGACAAUGGGCGAAAGCCUGAUCCAGCAAUGCCGCGUGAGUGAUGAAGGCCUUAGGGUUGUAAAGCUCUUUUACCCGGGAUGAUAAUGACAGUACCGGGAGAAUAAGCUCCGGCUAACUCCGUG
rnacentral:rRNA from 1 species